UGAGAGAAGUGAGAUGAAAUC
rnacentral:miRNA from 1 species